GCUUAACACAUGCAAGUCGAGGGGCAGCAUUUCAGUUUGCUUGCAAACUGGAGAUGGCGACCGGCGCACGGGUGAGUAACACGUAUCCAACCUGCCGAUAACUCGGGGAUAGCCUUUCGAAAGAAAGAUUAAUACCCGAUGGUAUAAUCAGACCGCAUGGUCUUGUUAUUAAAGAAUUUCGGUUAUCGAUGGGGAUGCGUUCCAUUAGGCAGUUGGUGAGGUAACGGCUCACCAAACCUUCGAUGGAUAGGGGUUCUGAGAGGAAGGUCCCCCACAUUGGAACUGAGACACGGUCCAAACUCCUACGGGAGGCAGCAGUGAGGAAUAUUGGUCAAUGGGCGCAGGCCUGAACCAGCCAAGUAGCGUGAAGGAUGACUGCCCUAUGGGUUGUAAACUUCUUUUAUAUGGGAAUAAAGUUUUCCACGUGUGGAAUUUUGUAUGUACCAUAUGAAUAAGGAUCGGCUAACUCCGUGCCAGCAGCCGCGGUAAUACGGAGGAUCCGAGCGUUAUCCGGAUUUAUUGGGUUUAAAGGGAGCGUAGGUGGACAGUUAAGUCAGUUGUGAAAGUUUGCGGCUCAACCGUAAAAUUGCAGUUGAUACUGGCUGUCUUGAGUACAGUAGAGGUGGGCGGAAUUCGUGGUGUAGCGGUGAAAUGCUUAGAUAUCACGAAGAACUCCGAUUGCGAAGGCAGCUCACUGGACUGCAACUGACACUGAUGCUCGAAAGUGUGGGUAUCAAACAGGAUUAGAUACCCUGGUAGUCCACACAGUAAACGAUGAAUACUCGCUGUUUGCGAUAUACAGUAAGCGGCCAAGCGAAAGCAUUAAGUAUUCCACCUGGGGAGUACGCCGGCAACGGUGAAACUCAAAGGAAUUGACGGGGGCCCGCACAAGCGGAGGAACAUGUGGUUUAAUUCGAUGAUACGCGAGGAACCUUACCCGGGCUUAAAUUGCAUUUGAAUAUAUUGGAAACAGUAUAGCCGUAAGGCAAAUGUGAAGGUGCUGCAUGGUUGUCGUCAGCUCGUGCCGUGAGGUGUCGACUUAAGUGCCAUAACGAGCGCAACCCUUAUCUUUAGUUACUAACAGGUCAUGCUGAGGACUCUAGAGAGACUGCCGUCGUAAGAUGUGGGGAAGGUGGGGAUGACGUCAAAUCAGCACGGCCCUUACGUCCGGGGCUACACACGUGUUACAAUGGGGGGUACAGAAGGCAGCUACCUGGUGACAGGAUGCUAAUCCCAAAAGCCUCUCUCAGUUCGGAUCGAAGUCUGCAACCCGACUUCGUGAAGCUGGAUUCGCUAGUAAUCGCGCAUCAGCCAUGGCGCGGUGAAUACGUUCCCGGGCCUUGUACACACCGCCCGUCAAGCCAUGAAAGCCGGGGGUACCUGAAGUACGUAACCGCAAGGAGCGUCCUAGGGUAAAACUGGUAAUUGGGGCU
rnacentral:rRNA from 1 species